GUGGCGGUAUUCAGCUUUACGCUGCUCUCUGUAACUCGCCACACAGGAAGAAGAAGAAGAGGAGGAUAUCCAGUUUACUCGUGAUGAGCUUCUGGAUUUGAGUGUCUCAGCUGCUGAUCUAUUCCUGCAUUCAGCUGAAUUAUGAAGGCUGAUCAAUGACUGGAGAUCUGUGAUUGUUCAUCAGUUUCUGCUGGAGAUCAAACUCUUCAGGUCCAUCAUGGAGGACACACACACACCUGGAGAUCUGGAUUUGUCUACAGGAUGCAGUUCAGUUCAUCAGAAGAGAGCAGAAGCAGAGCCCAGCUGUGUGUCUAUGAAGAGUGAUGUGUCUAUGACUGAACCAUUAAAAUUUAAGAGUGAAAACACACGACCUGC